CAAACUGAAGAUGGCGACCGGCGCACGGGUGAGUAACACGUAUCCAACCUGCCGAUAACUCGGGGAUAGCCUUUCGAAAGAAAGAUUAAUACCCGAUGGUAUAAUAAAACCGCAUGGUUUAAUUAUUAAAGAAUUUCGGUUAUCGAUGGGGAUGCGUUCCAUUAGGCAGUUGGUGAGGUAACGGCUCACCAAACCUUCGAUGGAUAGGGGUUCUGAGAGGAAGGUCCCCCACAUUGGAACUGAGACACGGUCCAA
rnacentral:rRNA from 1 species